rnacentral:tRNA from 1 species
GCGCUCGUAGCUCAGUGGAUAGAGCACCGGUUUCCUAAACCGGGGGUCGCAGGUUCGAAUCCUGCCGGGCGCA